rnacentral:rRNA from 1 species
GAUGAACGCUGGCGGCGUGCCUAAUACAUGCAAGUCGAGCGAACAGACGAGGAGCUUGCUCCUCUGACGUUAGCGGCGGACGGGUGAGUAACACGUGGAUAACCUACCUAUAAGACUGGGAUAACUUCGGGAAACCGGAGCUAAUACCGGAUAACAUGUUGAACCGCAUGGUUUAACAGUGAAAGACGGUCUUGCUGUCACUUAUAGAUGGAUCCGCGCCGCAUUAGCUAGUUGGUAAGGUAACGGCUUACCAAGGCAACGAUGCGUAGCCGACCUGAGAGGGUGAUCGGCCACACUGGAACUGAGACACGGUCCAGACUCCUACGGGAGGCAGCAGUAGGGAAUCUUCCGCAAUGGGCGAAAGCCUGACGGAGCAACGCCGCGUGAGUAAAGAAGGUCUUCGGAUCGUAAAACUCUGUUAUUAGGGAAGAACAAAUGUGUAAGUAACUAUGCACGUCUUGACGGUACCUAAUCAGAAAGCCACGGCUAACUACGUG